GGCGUAAGCGCGCGCAGGCGGUUUCUUAAGUCUGAUGUGAAAGCCCACGGCUCAACCGUGGAGGGUCAUUGGAAACUGGGGAACUUGAGUGCAGAAGAGAAAAGCGGAAUUCCACGUGUAGCGGUGAAAUGCGUAGAGAUGUGGAGGAACACCAGUGGCGAAGGCGGCUUUUUGGUCUGUAACUGACGCUGAGGCGCGAAAGCGUGGGGAGCAAACAGGAUUAGAUACCCUGGUAGUCCACGCCGUAAACGAUGAGUGCUAAGUGUUAGAGGGUUUCCGCCCUUUAGUGCUGCAGCUAACGCAUUAAGCACUCCGCCUGGGGAGUACGGUCGCAAGACUGAAACUCAAAGGAAUUGACGGGGGCCCGCACAAGCGGUGGAGCAUGUGGUUUAAUUCUAAUCAACGCGAAGAACCUUACCAGGUCUUGACAUCCUCUGACAACUCUAGAGAUAGAGCGUUCCCCUUCGGGGGACAGAGUGACAGGUGGUGCAUGGUUGUCGUCAGCUCGUGUCGUGAGAUGUUGGGUUAAGUCCCGCAACGAGCGCAACCCUUGAUCUUAGUUGGCAGCAUUUAGUUG
rnacentral:rRNA from 2 species